CAGGACGAACGCUGGCGGCGUGCCUAAUACAUGCAAGUCGAACGGUCUUUUCUAUGGAAGCUUGCUUCCACUGAGAAGAUAGUGGCGAACGGGUGAGUAACACGUGGGUAACCUGCCCAUAAGAGGGGGAUAACAUCCGGAAACGGGUGCUAAUACCGCAUAGUUUUCUUGGUCGCAUGAUCGGGAAAGGAAAGACGGCCUUUGUGCUGUCGCUUAUGGAUGGACCCGCGGCGUAUUAGUUAGUUGGUGAGGUAACGGCUCACCAAGACGAUGAUACGUAGCCGACCUGAGAGGGUGAUCGGCCACAUUGGGACUGAGACACGGCCCAAACUCCUACGGGAGGCAGCAGUAGGGAAUCUUCCGCAAUGGACGAAAGUCUGACGGAGCAACGCCGCGUGAGUGAAAGAAGGUUUUCGGAUCGUAAAACUCUGUUGUCAGAGAAGAACAAGUUGGAGAGUAACUGCUCCAGCCUUGACGGUAUCUGACCAGAAAGCCACGGCUAACUACGUGCCAGCCGCCGC
rnacentral:rRNA from 1 species